rnacentral:rRNA from 1 species
CAGCCGCCGCGGUAAAACGUAGGUGGCAAGCGUUGUCCGGAAUUAUUGGGCGUAAAGGGCUCGCAGGCGGUCUCUUAAGUCUGAUGUGAAAGCCCCCGGCUCAACCGGGGAGGGUCAUUGGAAACUGGGAAACUUGAGUGCAGAAGAGGAGAGUGGAAUUCCACGUGUAGCGGUGAAAUGCGUAGAGAUGUGGAGGAACACCAGUGGCGAAGGCGACUCUCUGGUCUGUAACUGACGCUGAGGAGCGAAAGCGUGGGGAGCGAACAGGAUUAGAGACCCCUGUAGUCCCUGUCUCUUAUAC